rnacentral:rRNA from 1 species
AUGCAAGUUAGCGUUGCGGGUCUAAUGUCGACGGUUGUUGCGUCUUGCACCCCUAUGAGUCGCUCGCCCGUUCUGCCGUCUUCUUCCGGCACGCCGGCGAGCCGCUCUUGGAGGCCGGCGGCAGCGACGGCGUUCCCUAAUUCUCUCGCCGUCAAGUGCUGCCGGCCGACGUCUGUGGUACUCCGCGCUCACCCGGAGAAACAGCUGCCGGCGUUCAACAUUCCCCCCACCGCCCUGCUGUACCCCGUGCAACCGCCGGACAGCAAGGAGCGGUGGGACAUCAAGGAGGAGGAGAGGCACGUCAAGAUAUGGCUCCAGGUACCCGGGCUCUCGGAGAACGACCUCGAGAUCACCGCCGGCGAGGACAUGCUCGAGAUCAAGAGGAAGGCUGGCACCGGGGCCGGCGGCCGCGAAGAGCCGCCGGUGGAGGUGCACGGGGUGGGCUCCUUCCACGUCAGGCUUCUCAUGACGAAGGAAUACAACAGCGAGGACGUCACCGCGGAGCUCAAGGCCGGGAUGCUGGAGAUUACCAUCGGCAAAGCCGACAACCGUGGCAUCAAAAAACCAGUCGGGUUUGGGAAGAAAAGCACCACCAAGAACACGCCAACCCAAGACAAGCCAAGCUUAAACAGUGCCCAAGGACAAGUGGCCCGGAUGAUUUGGUACUCCAUCACUAAUUCCAAGUGA